rnacentral:rRNA from 1 species
CUGGUAUACAAUUACAAUGUGAAUAAAAUGAAAUUACAGAAUUCUAUAGUAUAACCCUAUAACUAGUACAAAUAAAUAAGUACUGUAAAGGAAAAAAGAAAAGAAAAGAAAGAAAAACCCUACCUUUUGUAUCAGGGAGAUUUAAAUUAACCUUACUAAAGAUAUCCCGAAAUAAAAAGAGCUACUAUUAUUACCCUUAUAAAAUCUCAUAUUUAUACAUAAAAUUAUAGUAGAUGUGAUAUACUAGCCAAUUUUUAUAAUAUCUGGUUUUAUUGAACACUAAUUUAAUUAGACCUAAUUUUAUUUUCACAAAAUUAGUUUUAGAUUUAAAAGGAUAAGCUUUUAAAUUAUUAGAAUAAAUUAUACCUACCUAAAAAUAAAGUUAAAUACGCUUAUUUUAAAACAAAUAACAAAACUAUUUGCUUAAAAUCUAACAAUUACAAUAAAUAUGCCAUAAAUAACCCCAAAGUACCAACAAUAAACCUAUAAGUAUAAAUAAAUAUAUAGUAACUAGUAUAAUUAACAAACUACUACAUAAUAUACCAAACAUUUUAAAGAACUCGGCAAACCUAUUUCCCGCCUGUUUAUCAAAAACAUCGCUUAAAGAUAUAAUUUCAAGUAGAACCUGCUCCCUGAACAUAAAUUAAAGAGCCGCAGUAUUCUGACUGUGCGAAGGUAGCAAAAUAAUUUGUUUCUUAAUUAGAAACUGGAAUGAAUGGUCUAACGAGGAAAAAUCUAUCUCAAAAUUUAACUAAAAAUUAACAUAUAAGUUAAAAGGCUUAUAUACUUUAGCAAGACGACAAGACCCUAUAAAACUUAACCUUUUAAUAAUAUACUUAGAAUAUUUCAACACAAGGAUUUAACUGGGGCGGUAUUUAUAUAAGAUAUAACUAUACAAUUACAAACAUGUAUGAAUGAAAAAAUAAAUCUUAAUUUAAACAGAAAAAAAAGUUACUUUAGGGAUAACAGCACAAUACUAUUUAAGAGCUCUUAUCGACAAUAGUGAUUGUGACCUCGAUGUUGAAUUGGGACUCCAUCUAAAAGCAGAUAUUUAGAAAGAAAGUCUGUUCGACUUUUAAAUUCCCACAUGAUUUGAGUUCAGACCGGCGCAAGCCAGGUUGGUUUCUAUCUGCUAAAUAAACCAAAACAACUUCUUGUACGAAAGGACCGAAAUUGUUAAAUAAUUUACAGAUAAGAAUAAAUUUAGUACUUAUUCUAUAAAAU